rnacentral:rRNA from 1 species
UACGGAGGGGGCCAGCGUUGUUCAGAAUUACUGGGCGUAAAGCGCACGUAGGCGGCUUUGCAAGUUAGAGGUGAAAGCCCGGGGCUCAACUCCGGAAUUGCCUUUAAAACUGCAUCGCUAGAAUUGUGGAGAGGUAAGUGGAAUUCCGAGUGUAGAGGUGAAAUUCGUAGAUAUUCGGAAGAACACCAGUGGCGAAGGCGACUUACUGGACACAUAUUGACGCUGAGGUGCGAAAGCGUGGGGAGCAAACAGG